CGGGCCGGUGGCGCAGCGGUGAGGCGCGGCCUGUUGCGCCGCCGCCGCGGUUCCCCGUCCGUCCCGGCACGG
rnacentral:tRNA from 1 species